AAAAGCUCGUAGUCGAAUAUUUACUUGAGACUUCUGUCUUGCUUCCGAGUUUAAGACGUGGAGUUCUUGAGCAAUAUCUUCUCCACUCUGCACUUAACCGUGCUGUGUUGUUGGAUCUUUUACUUUGAGGAAAUUAGGGUGUUUCAAGCAGGCGUUUGCUAUGAAUAUAAUAGCAUGGAAUAAUAAGGUAAGGCAACGGUCCUAUCUUCUUGGUUCUAGAGGGCCGAGGCAAUGAUGAAUAGGAGCGGUCGGGGGUAUUCGUAUUUAAUUGCUAGAGGUGAAAUUCUUAGAUUUGUUAAAGACGCACUAAUGCGAAAGCAUUUGCCAAGGAUGCCUCCAUUGAUCAAGAACGAAAGUUAGGGGAUCGAAGACGAUCAGAUACCGUCCUAGUCUUAACCAUAAACUAUGCCGACUAGAGAUUGGAGGCUGUUAAUAUAUAUACGACUCGUUCAGAACCUUACGAGAAAUCAAAGUCUUUGGGUUCCGGGGGGAGUAUGGUCGCAAGGCUGAAACUUAAAGGAAUUGACGGAAGGGCACCACCAGGAGUGGAGCCUGCGGCUUAAUUUGACUCAACACGGGAAA
rnacentral:rRNA from 1 species